rnacentral:rRNA from 1 species
AGUGAACGCUGGCGGUAGGCCUAACACAUGCAAGUCGAACGGCAGCACAGUAAGAGCUUGCUCUUACGGGUGGCGAGUGGCGGACGGGUGAGGAAUACAGCGGAUUCUACUUUUUCGUGGGGGAUAACGUAGGGAAACUUAUGCUAAUACCGCAUACGUCCUACGGGUGAAAGCAGGGGUUCUUCGGACCUUGCGCUAUUGAAAGAGCCGAUGUCGGAUUAGCUAGUGGGCGGGGUAAAGGCCCACCAAGGCGACGAUCGGUAGCUGGUCUGGGAGGAUGAUCAGCCACACUGGAACUGAGAAACGGUCCAGACUCCUCCGGGAGGCAGCAGUGGGGAAUAUUGGACAAUGGGCGAAAGCCUGAUCCAGCCAUACCGGGUAGGUGAAGAAGGCCUUCGGGUUGUAAAGCCCUUUUGUUGGGAAGGAAAAGCAGCAGGUUAAUACGCCGCUGUUCUGACGGUACCCAAAGAAUAAGCACCGGCUAACUUCGUG